AACGAACGCUGGCGGCAUGCCUAACACAUGCAAGUCGAACGAGACCUUCGGGUCUAGUGGCGCACUGGUGCGUAACGCGUGGGAACCUGCCCUUAGGUUCGGCAUAACUCCCCGAAUGAGGUGCUAAUACCGGCUAAUGUCUUCGGACCAAAGAUUUAUCGCCUUUGGAUGGGCCUGCGUUGGAUUAGCUAGUUGGUAGGGUAAAAGCCUACCAAGGCGACGAUCCAUAGCUGGUCUGAGAGGAUGAUCAGCCACACUGGGACUGAGACACGGCCCAGACUCCUACGGGAAGGAGCAGUGGGGAAUAUUGGAAAAGGGGCGAAAGCAUGAUGCAGCAAUGCCGCGUGAGUGAUGAAGGCCGUAGGGUUGUAAAGCUCUUUUACCCGGGAUGAUAAUGACAGUACCGGGAGAAUAAGCUCCGGCUAACUCCGUG
rnacentral:rRNA from 1 species